rnacentral:lncRNA from 1 species
GACAACAUCCACCGCCACCACAGGGAAAGCAGUGAGGUCUUCGACGAGCAGGGCAGGGUCCUCCGCGGCACUAGCACUACAGGUAGCGGUGGCGAUUGCUCCUGCUGCAUCGUCCACUUCCUGCGCCUCGUCCUCGAACUCGUCGUCGCCCCUAUGCUGCGCAUCCCUGCUGUUCUUCUUGGCGUUCCUGCCGUGGCCGCUGAAGCGGAUGCAGUACACCCUCACCGGCGACCGCGCGAGCUCGGGCGGGGCGGUGAUGGAGUACUCGUGCAUGACCCACCCCGUGCUCGUGGAAGUUGAGCGCGUACUUGUCCCACUCGAUCUCCAUCGUCUCGGCGCUGCCGCGCACGUGCACGCGCAGCUUCUUCUUCACCUCCUCCAAGCCUUCUUCUUGCUGGGGCUUCCUCUUGCCCUUGCCCUGCCCUUGCCAAGUCCCUUGUCCCGCGCAGGUGCGCUUCUGGCGCCACGCCGCCAUAAUACUAUCACCAUAAUAUUUGUCGGUGUUUUCUCCACGGGGGGUCACACCAAAAAGUAAACUUGUAUGCGUGCUUCCUUUUCCAGAUGGUGAUCCGGCAGCUCGGAUGUCGGCUGCCGUGCUUCAGAGUUACGCGGAAGGACCAUUGGUCUCUCCACGUAUGUCUGGGCAUUUGGGCAUAUCGCUCUGGCGAGCGAUGCCGCGGCGUUGUCCAAUCCGAAUGGCAGUGCCCUUCUUGGAGUGAACAACCCGUGUGGAAGUAAUCUGGCGGCGGGUGUGUCACCUCUUGUCGUCGUGUGACACUGAACCGGCAUGUCCACGGUUCCGGCACGCGGGGCUGCCGACUCCCGUGUCACCUCCUGCCUAGCACGAACUGCUGGUCGUGACGAGGCAGAGGGGCGACGAUGAUGCUGUCCACGCCUCUUCUUGGGCGGGGAGGCGUGGUGACGAGGGCGUCUCGGGGCCCUCAACCGUGCUGGCGCAACGCGGGCGCCUCCCGGUCCUUUGAUCGAGAGUAAGAUCAUGUCAUAGCCGGAGCCGGUAGACAUGAACUUAAGACUCCCAAACCAAAUCACCAUGGAGCGCGGAAUCGGCGAAACGAGAGUGGCCAUCUGGAAAGGAGUGGAAAAUCGAUGAAAAAACACGCAGGACCCCUACCUGGCGCGUCGGUGUUUUCCCCACGGGAGGUCACACCAACGAGUAAACUUGUAUGCGUGCUCCCUUUUCCAGAUGGUGAUGCAAGAAGACACAAAGAUUUAUCCUGGUUCGGGCAAGAGAAGGUCCUACGUCCAGCGGGGGAGGAAAGUUUGUAUUAUCUUGCACCUAAGUGCUUGUACAGGGGCGAAUACAAGCGUGGUAUGGAGUAUGAAAAGUUCUACUGCGUAUGGAUAUGGUGUUGCGUGUGUGUUGUUCUUUUAUUCUCGGGUCUCCCCUUUUAUAGCUCCAAGGAGAGACCUAGGGUACACGUAUAGGCGUCAGAGUAGGGGUCGAUAGAGGCAUGGCGCGCUGACCUACUCGAGGCUUCCGUACCGGCGUGGUCUCGAGCCGUCCCGUCUUGGUAGCUUGAUGAUGAUUACGCGUGCCCCCGUUUCCUGCUCUGCGCGCCGUCUUGGGCUGGUUCAUCGGCCGCACGCCUGUACGGUGUAGCGAUAAACCCGGCGGAGCGGCUGCAGUGUUGUCAGUCGACGCCCGACUCUUCCCCCGGAAGGGAUUAUGCCUGGUCGAGGGUCAGACGCCGUCCAGUGCCCCGUUGUCCAAAGCGCUGACCUUUGGGUGUCUCGAGGGGGUCCUGAUUAGACGCUCCAUCCCUGCCUCCUGCGUCCUGGUACGUUCUGGGUCGUUUGGUGGGGAAAGCUGCAAAAAAGAUGAUGGGACGGAUGUCUGUUCCCUAUCACGCUUCCCGUGACCAGCGUGUUAGGUGGGAAAGCGGCAGGCGCAUUAAAUGCCCUGGCUCUCGUGCGCGCGUCAGGCGGCGGACAGCAUCCUUGCGCUCGACGUCUCCCGAUUCGCUCGAGCCCAUUUUCAUAUUCGACGGUGGUUAGCGCUCGACCCUUGAACGAUUCGCUCGACGCCGUUUCCGUCUUCGAGGCUGCGGCCGUCGACGGCCGCGCGGCUUAUUAGAACGUCGAGUCGAGGGCCUCGAUCUGUGCAUGGGUAAUCUCGUUAUGUGUAUCAGUUAGGACACUUCUUACUGGUACCCUCGACAAUAUUAUAUUCACUCAAAUAACCUGAAAAGCAAUUCAAAAAAAGAGCCUGAAAAGCAUCACUCGUCUAAAUCACUGAGAAAUCGACGGGUCGAUCACUUGUCCAGCAAAAACCACCACGCCGCUGAGCUCCUCCUUGAUCAAGAACACGAACGGGUGGUCAGCGACGAAGUCCACCGGCGCCUCCACGUGUGCGCACCCGAAGCCCAUGGCGACAGCGGUCGCGGAGGCUGCCUUGGUCCCUUCCUCGUUCACCUCCACGAAGGACUCAUGGUAGACAUCGGACACGACGAGCGGCUCCGGCGCCCCUGCCUCCUCCCCCAUGUCGCCAAAGUCCGCGGCGACGCGAUCGAAGGGCAGGAGCAGCCCCAGGUCCAGCAGCAUCUCCCUCGCGUUCGUCCUGUACGCCACGGUGAACCUGGGAACCCGGAACGCGCGCACGGGGACCUCGCUCGUCAGAGUUCUGGAGCUCUCGAGCGGCGCCGCCGGGUCCGCGCUCAGCUUGUGCAGCAGCGCUGGCAGGCCGUCGUGCGCGUCCGGGAGGUAGAUGUACAUCGACAACAGCCGCUGCUCGCCGCCGCCGUGUUGCGCGUAGCGAAGCCUCAACACCUUGUAGCCGGGCCGGCAGGCGAUGCACUGCUUGCUGGUGCUCGACAUGAACGGCACGCGGACGACGCCACCGUCGUGCAGGAAAAAGGCCUCGUCCCGCGUCAGGCAGGCGUCGAACUUGCGCUCCCACGCGCCCUUGAAGUAGAGUGCGUUGGCCAGCACCGCCGGCGUCCCGCGGUGGAGGCAGCCCGUGGGAAGAAGGUCCUUGAUCCGGCCGGCCGUCGCGCUGGCAACCCACUCGUUGAUCUGGCUCCUUGCCUCCUCUGGCUAGCGUAGAUCAACACAAAGAACCAAACGAAGUUGCCUCCAAGAUCACCAAAUUCGUAAGCCGUACGUACGAGAAGAAAGGGGAUUCCGAGUUUACCAUGGUUUUGAAGAACGCCUGGCGCGCCUCUGCGCGGUAGUGCUUGGCGGCGACGCGGGCGAACGAAGCUUUGAGCUGCAGAUCGGCGGCGACCCAGACACCGUUGGCGAACCGCACCGUGGUCCCACCCUCACCUUCGCCUUCGCCGUCGCCGUCAGCGAAGACGCGCAGCGCAACGUAGGACGCGAGCGCGGCGUGGGCGCUGCCGCCGGCGGGGCCGAGGAAGCUUGCGAUCUCGUCUAGCGUGCCGCCCCGCGCGCCCGCGGCGAGCAGCGCCAGCGCCGCGUGGAGGGACAGCGGGGAGACGGCCAGGUUGGCGCGGGGGGAGCCGUCGUCGCGGGAGGCGAGAUGGCGGAGCACGCGCAUGGAGAAAGCGGCCUCGUCCUGGGCGGCCUCCGCGAGCUGCAUGGCCGCUGAUGAUGCUCAGCUCAGGCAGCCUCAGCGUCAGGUUGCUGUCAGCUCAGAUACAAAACGUGGAACCACUGAAUUGGGCAACGGGAGUAGUUGGGUUGGAUUUGGAUGGAUGCGUCGCGUUGGCCGCUGCGUGUUGUGCCGCGUUUGCGUGGAUGUGACUCGUGGAUUCGUGGGGGUUCCCCCUUGCUGCCGAUCGAGUUCAUCAUAAUUCAUUCAUUCAUUCAUAGUCCCAUUCCCAUGGCCCAUGGGCAUGGUUUACAAUAGUUGUUUGUACAAAUGCAGGUCAGCAGGUGUCGCUACCCAACACAAAAACGUGUCAGAACAUGAUCACUCGCUCAAAUAGCCAAAUAUGUGAGACUCAAAUUUAGCCCAGGAAACUGAACACCUGAUUUAAAGUAAUGUUAAUAGCUCAAUUCUUACUGCACGCAUGGUCGAUGAUGCAUCAAUUCCGUACAAUUAGAUUCAAGAAUGACAGCCUGGCAUCAAUUCUUGCACGAAAACUAGAUACAGCAAUGCAUGGCACGUAAAACAAACCAAUUACUAAAAUUACAGAAAGAACAAUAUACGCCACCAAUGUAGAACUUGAAUAAACUAAGAUGCCACAGAUUUGUUCAUUACAGACGUCUCUAGCCGGAAAGCCGGAUCUACCGUUAAGUGUAGCCAUCGGUACGAGAAAUACAUGCACGUGAGGAUUAAAAGGGGACAAAUACGCAGCAUUUUCUGGUAAAAUAUUGUUCUUCUGCUCCUAAAGCACAACAUCAAAGCUUGGGUAACAACUAGGUGCUGUCCCGUCCACAGCUUUCCGCCACACCACAAAGGAACCCAGCAUCAAGGUUAGCAUGCAUCGUCGUCCUUGCUCAAGGGGAAGUCACCUUGCUGCGGAGGCGGCUUGAGCGUCUCAAUGGAGUCGGUGUCAGUGGAGUUGGCGUCGCAUCGGUCUUCUCCAGUCUUACAGAUUUCUCCUGCUGUAGAAAAUCAUACAGUAAGUGGACAGCUCACUGCUAACCACAUUCUGAAUCAAAAUCUCGAUUCCUGUUUGUCAUGUCUGCUUUGAAAAUACUUUAAUUUCUAAAUGCACAGUGUUCAACCAAGAUCAUUAGAGGAAAAGCAACAAUAAUGCUAUUAUUACUUCUCUGUUUAUCACGGCAAAGGUCUAUAAACAACCAGGGCCUGCAAUUUCUGAUAAAAACUGAAACUGUUCUAUACGAAUUACUCCCUCCAUUUCAAAUUAUAAGACGUUUCAGCUUUUCUAAAUACAUUGCAUUUUAAUUUUUACUAUGCAUCUAGACAUAGUGUAUAUCUAAAUACAUAACAAAAACUAUGUAUCUAGAAAACCUAAAACGCCAAUAAUUUAGUGUAAGUCACUAUCAGUCGAUAUGAGUUUGAGAAUAAGUCAUUAGUAGUGUAGCCCUCACAGCCCCACACCAUAAUUUAGUAUAUGGAGCAAAAAGGAACAGGCUUCAAUAAAUUUAUCUCAUAAAAAAUAGCGCAUCACGUAAUUCAUCUAAAAUCUAAAAAUCAAUAAUCCACCAAAUUUUCUAGGAAUAUCUAGUUAACUAGAGUACACAAUCAUUGAAAUCUGGUUCAUUUCUUCUGGGCAAACAUUCGAACAUCUAGUUAACUUGAGUUCACAAACAUUGAAAUCUGGUUCAUUUCUUCUACACAAACAUUUCCCAGUUACUAUGCAACCACCAUGCUUCCACAUCCUCUCUAGUACCAAAUGAACUUAGAUGAAACAAGUAAGGAUUGGAUUUACCUCUUUUUUUGCUCCUUGAACACUAGGGCUUUGAAUGAUGCUUGAAUGCACCUGCAUCUUUUCGACAUCCUCAUCCUUUCCCAAAUGUUCCAACAAUUCCUGAACUGUAGCAUCUCCAGCAUUCUGAUUCAAUCUCUUGAUAGAUCUUCCUCUUGAGCUAUUUGCAAACAUGAACUCUCCAAGUAGUUCAACCACUGGUGCCUUGGAGCUGUCAACAUCGCUAUGCUUCAGAAAGCUACCAUUGGAAGCCUUCACCUUCUCGGGAUCACCUUGUUUCAGUUUCUGAUCAUGGAUCCCAUGACCAAUCACAGGAACAUUGUGAGUGACAAGUGGGUCUGUCUUAGGCAAUGACUCUUGCACAGGAUCCUCAAGACUGACCAAUGGGUCCAGCAUGGGCAAUGUCAACUCCAUAGGAACCUCCAAACUACCAGCCAGGCCUUGGUUAGGAAUUGUCAAUUGCAUAGGUUGCUCUGAAGAGUGUACAGGUAGAUCUGCAUCUUGAACUGAAGAAGUCACUGGCAACAGCACAACUUGAUGUUGAUCUAACAAUGGCUGUUCGGCAAGUGAGUCAUAGGUUAUGAUGCAGUUGCAACACUCUCUCGAUCUUUGAUAGUACCUAUACAAUGCAGCCACCAAACAUGCAAAAGACAAGCAUGCCAAUAUCUGCAGCAAAUGAGGUUCCAUUGCAGACCACAGAAAUUUUACACCAGAGCAUAUUGUUUUAGCAGCUUCUGCUGUAUUCUCAUACUGCCAGAGAUCCAACUCCUCACUUUCCACCUUUUUAUCUUCCAUCUUGUCACUUGCUGAUUUUAUUGCCUUCUCCAUAGAGACUAACUGCAGUACACACUGAUUUGAGCAAUCCUCCCAUUCCUCUAGAUGAACUGAUUCUGAGCUGCCCUCCUCCUCAUUAGUUUGAGUUGUAGUGGAACUAAUGGAAUCCAGUGGGACGUUUCCACCCGACCAAUCAACUUCACUGCUUUGAUUAUCAUUCUGAAAGGAGAUUGCCCCUUCUGUAUCGAGUAUGUCCAUUUCAGAAUAUUCCUUCAAAUCUGACACAUUCUCACUUCUUUCACUCCCAACUUGGCAUGUCAAUUCUCCUAAGGAAACAUUCAGGCAGAUAUCAGCUAGCCCCAUCGCAGUAACUGACACCAGAUGAUCCACACGUUUAGUGUCUUCGUGAACAAUUUGAUUUGUACUUCCUUUUGGCACAUCCUCUGGACCCAUCAUAUAAACUGGCCCUAAUAAUCCCAGUGAUUCUCGUUCAUGAUCACCAGCAUCGUACAAGCCCCCAAUCCCUCCAACGAAACCGAGUGCAUCUUCUGAAUAAGUAGGGAAAGCAGCGGGAUUCAUACAGUAAAUGUAGCAUAAGGUGCAGGACACAGCGACGAGUAACAGAAACAGCCGCCGAGCCCACCCGCCUCGACGCGCUGGGACUACCUCCUCCUCCUCCUCCUCCUCCUCGCCGUCGUCAAGCUCGGCCUCGGAGUCGCUCCUUGGCGCCGACGAGAUAGGCGACGCUGCCGCCGCGUCCGAGGCCAAGGAAUCACCGUCCUCCUCCGAGGCCGCAGUACCCGAGGUCGUGCUGGAGCAGUCGUCGUGCAUCACGUCUGCCGCGCGUGACACCCGGAGGAGGAUCUCGCGGCGCCGUUCGGGGUCGUAGCACCGGAACGUCGGCCGCUGCAUGGUGUAGUUCGUCUUCGGGUCGUACGGCCCCGCGCCGUGGCCCGCGAGCGUCGGGGGGCUCGGCGCGGGCUUUGGCUGCUGCACUGGCGGCGCUGUGGCGCCCUUCAUGACCCCGACGCCGCCGUCGUUCCUCUCCCCGAGCACCUUCUUCCUCUGCGAGGACGCGGCCCCCACCGCCACGAGAUGCUUAGGGCUUGUGUUCUCGUCGGCCCCCCUUGCUGCUCCAGGCCUCAUCGCCUUGGGGCUCCUUCGCGGGGAACCUGCAAGUGAAGAAAGGUAAGGGAUCGGAAUUUUGCUUAGAUGACAGAACUGAAGCGAGUUUAGGGCUGGCGGUGGAACCUUGGGGAAAAACUCGCUCUCGCUUGGGAGACUCCAUGGUGAAGGGGUGGCGCAGUGGGUGGAUUCGAUUUGAUGUGGCGAUCUGGGGAUCUGUGGAAGGCGGAGAGCCGGAGAUGGAGAGAGAUUGGGGAUGGGACGGGAUGAAGUGUUUCCAAACUUGAGCCAUUCAGUAUCCGACCGUUGCGGUGUUGGUGCCGGCGGGGCGGGUUAUAUCUGGCGCAACAUCUCUGCGGGUUGAUCCGCGGGCAAUGGAUGGUAACGUCACCUGUAAUAAAGCCUGUAACCCGAGAGCCGUUUUUUUUAAAAAAUAAUAAUAAUCAUAUAAGUAAUAUAUAGGGAACACACUGUCUCUAUAAACAUCUCCCUAAUUUAACCGCUAACCUCACGAGUCAUGAUAGAGGGUAAAAAUUAACCCAUCUAUUAGCUUUGAGCUAAAAAUUAAUUGACUAACAAUUAGUCCUAUAUGUCCAUGUCUCUCACUCGUUAAGUCAUAAAUGCUCGCAAACCCGCCCUCCGUUUGCAACAUCUUCGUCACCUUAGGCCAGUCUCAAUGCAUAGUUUCAUGGCACAGUUAUCAAGACUAUAAACUAGGUAACCGAGCCAUAGGAGUUUUAUGGGGAUGAAACUUCUCUCUCAUCUGAUGAAACUCCUUCAUUUAAUGACCUGCCAAGUCAGCAAUUUUGCUUAUGUGGCACCUUAUUUAAUGUGCAUGACAUUCUCAUGAAACAUGCAUUGAGACUGGCCUUAUACCUUACCCUGAUUCGUUCAAUGAAUGCAUAUGGAAGAAUAGGUGUAGUUGAUAUUGGACCUCUAGUUCUAGGGUUGUGUCGACGAAAGCUAGUCGGCAGUCUACCUUGGGGUAUACCCACGGUAGUAGUUUAUCGGUAGACGGUGCGCAAGCUACGAACUCGAUGGUGACGCAAGACACAGACAAGGUUUUUAUCCAGGUUCGUCCGCCGUGUGGGUGUAAUAUCUACGUCCUGCGUCUGAUUGUAUUGGAUUGUGUUGAAAGAAUAAUGUGUCCUAAGGAGGUCCCUUGCCCCUCCUUAUAUAGUCCGGAGAGCAGGGUUACAAAUCUAGAAACUAAUCCUAGUCGGUUACAAUUGCCAUAGAUAAUUCGAUAUCAAUUCCUAUUCUAACCGACUAGAAUUCUGCUUGAUCUUCACGUCUUGUUUCCUUGCACGAAACUCCAAAUAAUCGGAUCAAGCCUCGAACUUGUCUCGUAAUGGGCCAAGCCUCCUGGCCCAAGUCUAGACGUAAGGGUAUAGGAGUUUAUACCCCCACAGCUUGUAUACCCUUCUCUCCGGCGCCUUUAAGAAUAGCAUGUUGAAAUUGUAAAUGAGACUUGUUAAACUGAAGUCCUUGAUCAGCUGAGCAUCCUACUUCAUCUGUAAGAGCAUGAAAAGCACAACAUUAAGGCCCCGUUUGGUUGAUGUUGGUAAAGUUUAACUUCCGUCACAUCGAAUAUUUGGAUAUAUACAUGAAGUACUAAAUAUAGACUAUUUAUAAAACUAAAAACACAACUAAAAUAUAAUUCGCGAGAGAAAUUUUUAAAUCUAAUUAAUCUAUAAUUAAAUAAUAAUUAUCAAAUAAACCAAAAAUACUACCGUACCCAUUGUGCAGGCUGCCGUAUAAACCCGCGAAAGCAAAGGGUGUUUUGUGGUCUGCCACAUGCGUCCACAAAACCUCUCGUAGCUCAUGCGGACGCGGGGCGGGCUGACGGACGCCGCCCUACUUGCAACCCAUCUGCAUCUGACCAAUGAAGGAAACUCCAUCGACCACCUUUAUAGGAGCCUGCAUCCUGCAGCCAUGGAGGAGACACCGCAGGAGGGUAGCAUCCAACUGCUUUUGGGGCCUUGUUUGGAUGUUGUCGCCGCCGCCGCCGCCGCCGUACUCAUGUUCCUCGCCGCCGCCAACCAACCACUUGAGGCCUUGUUUGGAUGUUGUUGGAUUCACUUCAAUCCAUAUGUGUUGGUGUGGAUUGAGGUGGAAUUUAGUUCAAAUUUCACUCCAAUCUACCUCAAUACAUGUGGAUUGAUGUGAAUCCGACUACAUCCAAACAAGGCCUGAUGGAAUUCCAACAAGGGUGAGAAGGGAGUUAACGCCAUGUAUUCUUGAUAUGCGGAUGACCAUAUCCAUCCAUGCCUCCUGCCAAACACAAGCUCUACUGGGCCAGGUUCAGGCCACGCACCAAACACCCUUAGAGAAUCACCAAAAGAAUUUCUAAAUCUCAUUCUCUAAACCAUUAUUUAGAGUCAUUUACAUAAAAGUUAUUUUCCAUAUCUUUUCACUCUUCAACUACACACUCUAAUAAAGAGCAAUUCUCAUCUUUUAUUUUUGGCUAGCAGAAAAAAGAAUAGAAAAUGAUUAUAUUUGAUAACCAUUUAGAUAAGUUGUUGUAAGGUAAUUUUUUUUAUCAAAAUCUCUAUUCCUAUCAGAUAGUCUCUUAGAGUUGCUCUUAGGUUUACUUGGCAUGAACUUAGCCUUCCCGUAACACAUGAAAAGAAGCUAGUCAUCACUUUUAUCCUGUCCCCAAAACAAAAUAUGCAGGAUUGUUUUCUCUCAAAGAUUUUUGUUUUGGCGUCACUUUUUAUUGAGGAAAUAGCGCCAUUUUUCCAGUGUAUAUUGCCCUGUGAUGGAUUGGGCCGGGAACCGGAGAGGCAGGAUCAGCGCAGUGAGAUCGCAAGUGCACGGAGAUCGUUCACAAAACUGCUCUAUGUUGUUGCAGAAGCCAACUGUCUAAGAGCUUUAUUUGAUAGUCUGGAAAAUCAUAACUAAAAAUACUAUUUGCUAAUUUAUUAUGAAAACAAAUAUUAUUAACCGAUAGAAAAAGUACAGCUUUAGAAGAUAAGCCAAUGGGCUCUCAGGCAAACUUAAGAAAAAGGGACCGGAAGGGAGAUUGGCAACAGGAAGCAUGUUUGGUCGUAUAAGGCUUCAUCCAAAAACCAAAAACUUUUCAAGAUUCUGUCAAAAAGUUUUCGGAACUAAACAAAGCCUAAGUAUCGUCCUUCGUGUUUUGAUCGUUGACUGAAAAAACAAAACACAUCUAAGCUUUUAGAAACAAGUAUUUUAUAAUUUCUUUGUUCCUUUAUAGUAAAAAAAAUUAAAUAGAUAGACUAGCGGUGAAAAUAACAAACUGAUGAAAACAACAAACUGUGAAACAAUCAGUGCUUUACUUAAAGGCGAUACAUAGUACACUGGAGUGUCAUGCGCUGUGAAACAAUCGACGCUCUUAAAGCCGAUACGGGCGCGUUGAAGCGCGCCUACAUUCCUGGCUAGUAUACUACAUAGUUGGUGGUGGCAGUACGUUGAAACUAUUGGUAGUAUGCAUGUACCACCCUAGUUCGGAGCCCUGGCAUUCUCAUUGUUAUCUAUCAGCCGUACGAUAAGAAAUAUUAAGAAAAAGCCAAAGGCUAUCAUCGAAGCGACGAGUGCAAAUGCCGGCCCAGUUGGAAAUUUCUUGAGAACGACGAGGUCAAGAGCGAUGGAGAUGAAAAUCAGCAGCGCUAUAACAAGAGACUGCAAAAAUAACAGGUGAAAGUUUAGCAAAGCAAGCAUAUGAGUGCAUAAUGCAACGCUACUAACACGGAUCAUAUAUAUAAAGAAGUUCUUAUAAUUUUCUAACGUAGAACUUACCCCGCACAACGUGACGCAUGAGGUAUUUUGGCCUGAACCCGCCUGGGCUUCUGGACCCUUUUCGAGGUCGACGAAAGCUGUGGCGGCAGUAGCAUUGGCCUUCCCUCUUCCUCCUCCUCCUCCACUCUCUUUCAUCUGGAUUUGGAUGGUGACCACGCUGUUUUUCUUGGAUGGUUGUGCUUUAACUACUGCUGACUUGUUGGUGGUCGCCAUCCGAUCCCGGCCGUGUGCCUAAUCCUCAAUGUAUAUAUGCCUCUUACUACCUAAUUUGGGGCUGAUAAUGUAUUAUUACGCUCUUGCUUGCGGCGCUAGCUGUUCUAAUCGAUGAUGAGUCGAUGGGGGUGGAGAGCGCCAGAUUUAUAGGCCGGGUGAGUCUGACGGCCUGUUAGCCUAGAUCGGACUCGGUUUCCGAAAUCGUACCGCUCCGAAUGGAACAAACCGUGCUCGUUCCGAGCGAACACAUGCAUCACCGCUCCGACGCGAGGAAGGACCCGCGGUCGGAGUCGAUGUCAACGGCGUGUCGGAGUCGACUUGUCUUUUUCGCAGUAAAAAAAAAAGGAGUCGAUUUGCCUGAUGAAGAGGCUGCUGCUAGCGCAGGGGAGCACGUCGUUCACCUGUGUGGUGGCGUCCGUGCGGUGCGGCGGCGUGCAGGCCAUGCCUGGCCGGCGUGCACGCGACCCAAGUGAGCAGCUGGCGAGAAGGCUCGGCCCAGGGUGCCGCGGGCCCCGUGCACACAGGUGAAAAUGUGCUUCUCUUGGGCCGGGGAAGCAAGGAGGAGCAGCGUCUGUAUAAUUAGGAAGCUGCAUGACACUACAGCGUAAGUGUCAUUGACUCAUUGUAGAGUUGAGAAUUUUCCCUCUCCGGCCGCGGCUCUUGCUGUCGGCCGGUGUGCGAUGGCGACGGGAAGUGGCAGAGCCAAAAAAUGGCGUCCAUCUGCAUCGUCCCCGCUCUUUUCUUUAAUUUCCCUCGUCUCCUCUCUAUUUCCAUGAACAUUUACCAUUGCGCUUCCACUCAUUCUACAACUCCUCUCGUCAGAUCAACUUCUUAUCCGUGUAAUAUGUGUGCCUCUUAUCUUUCUUCAUAGUGGUUGGUCCUACAGUUUUUAUGGCGGAUGCUUUGUCGCCAUUGUCGUGAUUGAUCUCUUCUCUAUCAGAUGCUUGCCGAUAGCGAUUUGACUUCUCCCCUCGUAGAUGCUUUGCCAUCGAGGUCACUUUGCCAUAGUGGUUUCUUUGUGGGCGACAGUCAUGUCUCGAGGUCCCUUCUCUAGCAAAUGCUUUGCCGACAUGUUGUUGGAGACUUUGCCACCAUGAUUUUCUAUUGUGUUUCACUAUAAUGCAACCAUUGUAUUGAUGUCUGUCUUUUCAUAGGGUUCUAGAGUUGAGGGUUCUUUUCCAUCGCUCUUACCUUGCAACUUCGCUUUGUCCUAGGUUAUCGAUCACCGGUAUGGUAGCCUAUAAUAGGGUAUUUCGCACAUGUGUCUUAUAAUUAUCUUCUUCUUCUUUUUAAUGAAAUACGUGCUAAGACAUGAUUGUGAAAGCUAGGAAAACUACUACAUAAAGUUCAAUGGCCAUAAUAUUAAAAUUUUCUAGAGUCGAGGACUUGAAUGAUACAGCCGUGCAAGUUUAGUCUAGAAACCGCACAUAGAUUUUAUAUUACAUGAGUCAUGAGAUCACUGUCUCUGGAACGCACAGAUAUAAUCAGACUCCGACGCACGCACAUAGGCACACCAGGAAGUCAAGCCACGUAUGCACGUGCCCGCCGUAUGCGCACACGCUCACCCACCAACAAACACAAGUACACACAGGUUACAGGUACACGAACCGAAGGCAAUGCGAAAAAAAAAACCUAGCUAAAUGAAAAUGAAAUAUUCGUGACGGUGGCUAGCAAGUGACGGGAAUCACAGUUCACAGGACAUGAAACGACCGGACUAGGCGACUAGCUAGCCAGCUGGCUAGUCCUGGCUCAUCAUGCGGUGGAAGUCGUGGAAGUCGAGCUCGCCGUCGCCGUCGUCGUCGUAGGCGCGGAUCAUGGCCUCGCACUCGGCAACGGACGGCUCGUCGCCGAGCUGGCUGAGCACGCGCUGCAGGCCGCGCGGCGUGAUCCGGCCGGACCCCUUGACGGCCUCGAACGCCUCGAAGGCGCGGCGGAGGUCCUCGCGCUCCUCCUCCUCCCCGCCUUUGCUCUCCACGAUGCGCACGAAGUCGUCGAACCCCAGCGUCAUCAGGUGUUCCCCCGCCCCUCCGUCCUGCUUGUUGAGCCCCAGCAGCGCCAGGCUGCCGCCGUCGUCGCCCAUGGACGCGAAGAACUCGCGCAGCUCCGCGCCGGAGAUGCGCCCGUCCAUGUCGCGGUCGAAGUGGCGGAAAAUCUCGCGGAGCUCCGCCAUGCGGUCGCGCCUGCGCCCGCGGGACGUGCCAGCAGAGGACGACGAGGCCGACGCGGACGCUGAGGACGACGACAGCGACCGCGCGCCAGCGCCGCCGGCCGUUGGGGAGUCCGGCGGCGACGAGGCCGCGGUGGCCUUGCACUGGCCGCAGAACAGGCCCGGCAGGCUCAGCUUGAAGCUGCUGCUGCUGCUGCUGUUGCUGCGCUUCGGGGACAGGCGCUUCGACGGCGGCUUGGACACCUCGAUGCUCCCCAUUUCUGAACUUAGCCUAUUACCUGUGACUGUGAGUGCGCAAGCUGUGAAGCCGCCGGCGAGCUGGUGGGCACUGUGGCUGUGGAGCGUGACAGUGCGGGCGCGUAUAUAUAGGCGAGGCGAGUAGCGACGAGAGGGUCCACUGCGCGGGGCUGCGUUUACGACGGGCACCGGGCACGGGCAGUGAGGGAAGUUUCACGGGGCUUUUUUUGGAUUUUCGUUCUUUUUGUCGGUGUUCGGAAGGAUCUCUCCGUCGUCGUCCAGCGCGCGCUCCACUGUGAAUUGGCGAUCGCGAUGUGAUCGUCCCCUGCAAAAACGUACUCCGCCAGAUGAACGCAUGGUAUGCCAGUUGCCAGUUCAAAAAGCAUAGAGGACAAGUUCAGAAAAAAUACAGAGACUUCCAGUCUAGUAUUUAUGAUGGAAACGGAGCUUGCAUUUCAUCAGAAGCUCGACUUGAACAAAAGAUUAAAUAAUUAUUAAGGACAAUGUUGCAAUCUCAGAUUAAAUUACAGUAGAUUCUUAAACAUUAUAAACAGUAACGAAUUCUUGGCCCAGUUUGUAGGUUUCAACCAAAUCGCUACUGCUGUAUGAUGUAUCCUACUGAUGAGCCAGUUUUAGGCCAAACUAAAUCAUCUGAUCUGGGUAUAUGUCACGCUAAAUGCUAGAAACUGAGCAUUCGUUAACAUGCUCAGUUUGGGUUUACCCGUUUGGAAACAUGGAGAACAUCAUCAGAAGGUUGCCGCCAGGUGUUCCAUCCCAAGGAGUCGUGCCUGGCUAUCAGACCCUUUGUUGGUAAAAACUUGGGAUAUCCCUGCUGAAGUGCUACUUAAACUAAAUUCUAAUGCUAAUUAAUUCGGCCCAUUUUGCUAGGUUUGGGUUCCUUUGUUCUAUCUCCUCACGGCUUACGCAAGCUUUAAUUUGCCAGCAUGGCCUUGCGUAUUAGUUGGCUAGUUGCAUUAUUUUUUUCGUCUCAGCUUUGUAGGAUGCCCGCACAGCUGCCCUGCCAAACGCCAAAUGCGACGGUCGCCUGAAUGACUUCGCCACGAGCACUGCUCGCUGUCUCCUGCUGCUCGAGUGCUUUUAUUUUAUUCGAGCCAUCUCAAUCGCCGCCAGAAAAGAUCAUCAACUAUCAUAUAUAUCAGUUUCAUCACUGCUUGCGUACUUAAUUAAUUGCUUAAUUACUCGCAUAUAACUUAUAAGUUCCUAAGUCCUCACCACAUGUUUCUCGCGUUGCCGGAAUUUGAUGCUCCAACCAAGAAUGCCAGCAGUACGUACCUGGAAUCCUGGAUGCUUACGCACAGAGCGAGUGCUUGCAAGUUGCAACAGGCCGCAAGGUGUUGCCUCACCUGAACCACUCCCCUGGACGUGGACGUGGACGACGUCGAGGACGGCGGCGGAUGCAAGCAAGGGCCGGCGAGGGAAUGGAGGCGGGAAGGGUCACGUCAGGGCCGGGGUUCGGUACGUGCGCGACGAAGCUUCGUGCCGGCUUCGCCCCGGGAUAAAAGAUUGCGCGCGCACGGUUAAUUUUACUCGUCUUUCGUGGAGCGGGUGCGGUGGGGGCUGGCAGAUAAGAGCUUUCACGUACUACGCAGGAUCUGUCAGUAGCCAUUGGUCACUUUGAGUUGCAUGACACUGCCCAAUAUGCACCAAUAGCGUCUAGCUAGAUCGGGGUCAGCUUGGCAAAGGAACGAACGAAAGGUGGAUGCAAACAGGCCAAGGUCAGCUUCCAUUUUCAGGAAACAAAAGAGGGAGGAAGCUAGCAAACGGCCGGCAUCAAGUCUGGAGCAGCUAGAGCUAGCGCUGCAAAAGAGAAGCACGUCACGUCUAGUCGUCCUCUAGGAUACCAAAUUAAAGCGGGCUGCGGUUGGGGGAUUCCGGUGAGGUUUACUCGCAACGCAGCGCAGGGAAGGAGCAGCUCUCGGCUCGGCUUUGGCUUUAAUUUACCCAGCAGCACGAGCGAAAAGUGUUGUCGCGCUUUGGGCCUCCUCCUCCGCUUUGGGCUUUGAGUUUUAGAGGCGAAGGCUUUGGAGUUUGGACUUCCGUUCGAACGCAUGGCGAACUGAAACUGCGGCGUGCUCGCGCUGGUGGUGAGUCGAUCGGAGUCGCUGCUGGGUUGGUCGACGAGCGAGGACGGAAUAAUAUAUCCAGUUGGCAUGGUUUCGCCUGACGAGCCAGGCAGGCGUGCGCAGGGCGGCUUUGGUAAGUUUCGGCGCGCGCGCCCGGCGCCUGCCUCUCUUUCCGGCGCAGGCCGCCGUUGCUUGGCUCCAAGGGUUGCUGCCGUGCCGCCGCGGGGCUUGGCAGUUGGCGCCCAUUUUGAUGGUUCAGCAGGGCGGAGCGUGCUUUAAAGUAGCAGAGACCUGCCGUGCUUUUGCUGCUGCUGGUCGGCUUCUGCGCAAUGCAAAGCGUACGUCGUGAACUCGUGACGAUUGACGGGGCCAACUCGGACCAUCGGCGCCUGCGUUCAGGUCAGCUAAGGGUCUGUUUAGAUCGGGGAUGAAAAUUUUUUGGGUGUCACAUCGAAUGUGUCGGAAGGAUGUCGGGAGGGUUUUUACAAACUAAUAAAAAAACAAAUUACAUAGCUCGUCAGGAAACUGCAAGACAAAUUUAUUAAGCAUAAUUAAUCUGUCAUUAGCAUAUGUGGGUUACUUAGCACUUAAGGCUAAUCAUGGAGUAACUAGGUUUAAAAGAUUCGUCUCGCGAUUCUCAACUAAACUGUGUAAUUAGUUUAUUUUUUUAUCUAUAUUUAAUGUUUCAUGUAUGUGUCCAAAGAUUCGAUGGGAUGAAUGAAAAUUUUUUUGGUGGGGAACUAAACAGGGCCUAAAUGGUCCCGAAGAGGCCGCAGAGCGAAACUGAUCGAGGCCAAGAAAACAAUGCAAAGCUCAGAUGGUCAGCACGUCGUACGUUUUGGUGGCACCCACACAUGCUAAUAAGUACUCCGUAGUGAAUUGCAAAGGUGUGUGAACUACCGUAAUAGGAGCACUAACACACAAAAAGCGUACUAGCCCCAGCAGAAGUAAAUUAUUACUCAGACUAAUAAUUAAUUUGGCAGAGUGAUGGUUCUUGUAAGUACACUGGUUCAUUUGAUGAUCCCAGGGUCAGCUUUCAAAGCAUGUGUGCGUGCUUUUUCUGCUGCAUUGGCCCGGGUCUAAAGGCUCACUCUCACUCCUUGCAAAGAGGUCGUAUCAACUCAAGGCAGCGGCGGGUCUAAUCUGGGGACAUGUUGAAAAGAAUUAAGUCAAGCAGGCAUCGUUUGGGUUAUGUAUUGUCGAUCAAACAACUUUUUCUGUGUAGAUAUAUGCUCAUGUGAAGUGUAACAAAAUUAUAUUUUAUAUUUUAUAAUUUUUCUGUAAUUUACUAUGAUUUUUCAAAUAUUUAGCUGAAAUAAAUAAAAAAGAAAAAGACAAAACCUUUAUAGCAAAAAUUUUAUAAUAAAGCAUACCAUAUUAUAUGUUUAUUGUGUUGAUCUACUUAUGUAGAGUCCAACAAAAUUGGAUUUUCUAUUUUAUGAUUUUCUAUGAUUUACUAUGAUUUUUCAAAUAUUCACUCAAAAUAAUUAAAAAGGAAAAAGGCAAAACUAACAUCACUGUAGCAAAAUCUCUAUUCACUAUAGCAAAACCGCCUUCAAAACCGCUUUAGAAAGGUAAAAUAUACGGUUUCAAAAGUUGAAGGAGGUGGUUUGUCUGGUUUUGGAGUUGAGGGUGAAAAAGCGAACUUUCGUAAAAAUUGAGAGAAAAAAUAGACUUGGACCGAGCCACAGAAGAAAAAAAAACAUGUUCUUGUUACGCUUGUCACGCCUGGCAUUUUGGCUGGGCCGGGCUGCCUACAAGUCAGUCCGACCAUUGAGUCGACCUCUUUCAUGGACAGGCUUCGGACCCAGGUAGGCCUAGCAUCAAUCUUGCUGUCCUGAUCUCUGAAUAAAGGAAAAUCAUCCAAAAAAAGUAAAGUUUCAAAGAGCCGACUCUCUUUUUUUCAACAGAAAACACGCAACAAGCAUCGUGUGUAACAUGCACAUCGUGAAUAUCCAUUCGUUUUCCUAUACCGGAGAAUAAAAACCAUACCAACAUGCUACACACGAUCGAAGCGGACAACUAAUAGCAGUAUAGCACACGUAUGGUAAAACUGUAUCCGGAGAAUAAUUUAGGGUUCAUCCAACCCCGAGUUCGGGAGUCGGAAUCGUAGCCGUCCGCACCCUCAUCCUGUACCGAGUUCGGCCUGGACGCGAUCUGUGACGCGCUAUAAAUCCUGUCCCGCACCACGCUACGCACCAAUCAAUCAAAAGACACCAAAGCGUAGGGCGUUUUACUACAACCGCAGCACCACCACCUGCGCGAACGCGAUCGUGAUCCGCACACGCCGCGCGCAGGAUGUCGCGGCAGCAGAUAGGUGGCGGUGGCAGCGCCACGCCGAUGUGCGCCGCGGGCUGCGGUUUCUUUGGGAGCCCGGCGACCCUCGGCAUGUGCUCCGUCUGCUACAAGAAGCACUGCUGCACCAUUACGGACGGUCCAGGCGCCUCCUACGCCGCAACGGCGAUCGAUCCCGUCGUCACCCGAUCCACCGCUACCGCGGUGACCCCCGGGCCCGGCGCCGCCGCGGCUAAGCCAACGGUGGUGGCCGCGCGCACGCCCGCCGCGAGCGUCUGUUUGUUGGCUCCUGCUGCUAAAGGCGCCGUAGCGGAGGCCGCCGCCGUGUCGCCGCCCCACGCUCCCGAGGCGGCGGCGAAGAAGAAGAAGGCGCCGCCACCGGGCCGGUGCGCGGCGUGCUGCAAGAAGGUGGGGCUCACGGGGUUCGUGUGCCGAUGCGGGAACACGUUCUGCGGGAGCCACCGGUACGCGGAGGAGCACGGCUGCAGCUUCGACUUCAAGGGCGCCAGCCGUGACGCCAUCGCCCGCGCCAACCCGGUCAUCAAGGCGGAGAAGCUGACCGGCAAGAUCUGAUCACCGGCUCAGCGAACACGUAAUACGCAUCUUCCUUCACGGAGUUCUUCGUCGUAGUCGUAGGUUUUGUAGCCAGGUCGUCGUCGUUGUGGCUUCUGCAUCUCUGUCUCUGUAAUGGAUCAGAUGGAUGUCCAUGUGUAGGCUAGCCUCAUGCAUUCUGUUCAGAAUUCAGAUCAUCAGAUGUCAUCCGUGCAACCUAUUUGAUCGUCGUCAUCGAGAACAUGAGUAAUGCAUAUGAUUUUUUUUUGCGAAGAAAUGCAUAUGAAUUUGUUAUUACUCCUCUCAUCCAAUCAAAGAUGGCAUGGGCUUUCUCACUCUGUAUUUUUUUCUCUUUUCAUUGCCAUAUUUUAUUUUCUCUCUUUUCAUUGCCAUAUUUGAAUCGUGAACGAUUCGUUCCUUUUUUUUUUUUGCGAAUCAAGUGUCCACUCAAUGCUUGCAACGUCAAACGCACGCACACAGCUGUAGGCGUAUCACAUUUUCCCAUCUGUUACAAGUACUACUACUCCACACUUAAUGACACACUAGACGAUUCUGAAUUUCUGACGGCUGAAUAUGGUAACGAUUCCUGUUUUUUAUUCUCUAUUGGUUUCCUAUGAUACAGUUGCGGCAGUGUUUUCACUUGGUCUCGUCUCUUGAGUCUGUGGCAGCUCGACGUUUCCUCCCCACACCCGUAUUCUCUCUUCUGCUAGCAUAGCCUGCACAAAAAUGUUCCAGCAUAUGGGAACAAGACCAGAAAAGUGAAUAUGCAAACAAGAGCAGAAAAAAAAUGUUUGAGAAUAUGGGAGCAAGAUCAGAGAAAAAGAAGAUGACGAUGAAGAGGUGGGUACAAGAUAGUAAUGUACCUCUUUCUGCCAUUUGGUUCUGCUGAGGAUUACAAACAGAAUCACAGUCUGUAAUACUGUUCCAAUCAACACGCCCACCCAAAUCCCCUGCAGCACAUACAGAAUCAACAGGUUGCCUUUGAGGAAGGGAAGGCCAACAAAUCCCCAGGCAUGUCAAAUUUUCCAGGCAUGUCAUGUCUUACUGUUGCAUUGAGCUUCAGCUUGAACCCAAACACAGCUGCCAGGGGCAGGCCGACGAGGUAGUAGCUGCCGAUGUUGACGAACGCGACUAACGACUGCCACCCGGCACCGAUCGCCACGCCUGCAGCAAACAUACAUGAACGGAUUUGAGUAGGGAUAAAAACGGAUCGGAUACGAACGGAUAUUAUCGAUAUCAUAUUUGUUUUCAUAUUUAUGGUCGGAUCCGAAUACGGAUAAUAUCAAUCAUGUCGGAUAAGAUACGAUUGGAUGUCGACAUCAUAAAUAUACGAUUUAAAUAUUCGGAUACGGAUACAGUAUCGAAUGUUGAAUAUUCGGACUCGAAUACAGACAGAUCUAAACCUCUCUAAACGAAUUCGGGUCUCGAAUACGGUCAGAAUAUAUCCAUACCGUUUUCAUCCCUAGAUUUGAGCAUGAGCAUGCAUGAAACAAUCGUCCGUGGCUUUCUCUGAAAAUUCAAGAUACGUAGGAUGCAGAUCGAUUCUAGUACCUGACAGCACAGGCUGGAUGCUGUUGAGAAAUAUGGUGGCGGCCAGGAGGUACCCCAGCUUGGCAGUCGCCCUGAGAACCACGUCGUCGCCCGUGAAAAGCCGAGGCAUCUGCUUCCUCGCCGCCAGAGCAACCGCCGUGAAGAUCACCCCGAUGACGGCCGAUGUGGCGGUGGCGACGACGACGGAGAAUUUGGCCGCCUUUGGAUGGUUGGCGCCGAGCUCGUUCGACACGCGAACACUGACGUACGGGGAACGAAACGGAAAGGAAGAACAACGCAUAUCAGUAGCCAGUAUAAUGGCAACAAUUGAGAGCUCAAAGAUCUUUUUUCUUCAGAAAUAUAUAUACAUCAAAGGUGCCGACAAGCCAAGCAGUGCUGGACGUUACCUUACUGCAGCAUUGAAGCCAACAGCAACCAUCAGUGUCCAAAGCUGAUAGUUCAUGCUGUUACAGCCAAAGAGAAAAAAAUGAAUUACUGAAUCAUCACGAUUCACGGGGCACAUAGGCCUGCCAACGUGUUCUCUGCGAAAUGCAGAGGCAGAUGCUGUUAGAAGAUGAUCGAACUGAAACAAAUGGCACUGACCAUAUGGAGAUCGCAUCAACUUGAAUCUCUGGGUUCUUCAGGCAUCCAACCAGAAUGAGCACUGCCGUAUAAUACCACAUCUCUAAGCUGUGCCAACCAGCUGACAUAUUAGUGAUUAGUGAACUCAAUCAAUCAAGAAGGAAAAAAGAAGACGAUACGAUACGAACCACAGCAUGACAGCCGAGGCGAUGGAGAGCCUGACGAAGCCGCCGAGGCUGGCGAACGCCUUGCGCGAGAACCCAGUCCACGCCCCCGGGAAGGAGCCGCCGACGAGGUACACGAACUGCGCCACGUUGACGAGCCACCAGGAGACGUCGCCCACGACGGCGGCGCCGACCAGCCCGCGGCCGAGCCUGGACACGACGAGCCAGUUGAGCAGCGCGUGCACG